CGUAGCAAUACGUCACCGGCGGACGGGUGCGUAACACGUGGGAAUGUACUUAUUGGUUCGGAACAACUCAGGGAAACUUGAGCUAAUACCGAAUGUGCCCGAAAGGGGAAAGAUUUAUCGCCAAUAAAUCAGCCCGCGUCCGAUUAGCUAGUUGGUGGGGUAAAGGCUCACCAAGGCGACGAUCGGUAGCUGUUCUGAGAGGAAGAUCAGCCACACUGGGACUGAGACACGGCCCAGACUCCUACGGGAGGCAGCAGUUGGGAAUCUUGGACAAUGGGGGAAACCCUGAUCCAGCCAUGCCGCGUGAGUGAUGAAGGCCUUAGGGUUGUAAAACUCUUUCGGCGGGGACGAUAAUGACGGUACCCGCAGAAGAAGCUCCGGCUAACUUCGUGCCAGCAGCCGCGGUAAUACGAAGGGGGCUAGCGUUGUUCGGAAUUACUGGGCGUAAAGCGUGCGCAGGCGGCCAUCCAAGUCAGUGGUGAAAGCCCGGAGCUCAACUCCGGAAUUGCCAUUGAAACUGUUUGGCUCGAGUACGAGAGAGGUGAGUGGAAUUCCCAGUGUAGAGGUGAAAUUCGUAGAUAUUGGGAAGAACACCGGUGGCGAAGGCGGCUCACUGGCUCGUAACUGACGCUCAUGCACGACAGCGUGGGGAUCAAACAGGAUUAGAUACCCUGGUAGUCCACGCCGUAAACGAUGAACGCUAGCCGUUGGCCAGCUUGCUGGUCAGUGGCGCAGCUAACGCAUUAAGCGUUCCGCCUGGGGAGUACGGCCGCAAGGUUGAAACUC
rnacentral:rRNA from 1 species